rnacentral:siRNA from 1 species
UAUAAAGCCAUGUCACAAGCGUA